GCCGGUUUAGCUCUAAUGGUAGAGCGGUCGCCUUGUAAGUGAAUAGGUAGCGGUUCAAAUCCGUUAACCGGCACCA
rnacentral:tRNA from 2 species